CGUGCAGGUGGUUUGGUAAGUUGGGUAUGAAAUCUCCUGGCUUAACUAGGAGAGGUUGCUCAAAACUACCAGACUAGAGGACGAUAGAGGAAGGUGGAAUUCCCGGUGUAGUAGUGAAAUGCGUAGAUAUCGGGAGGAACACCAGUGGCGAAGGCGGCCUUCUGGGUCGUUCCUGACACUAAGACGCGAAAGCGUGGGUAGCAAACAGGAUUAGAUACCCUGGUAGUCC
rnacentral:rRNA from 1 species